CCGGAGUGGACGCAUCACUGGUGUUCGGGUUGUCAUGCCAAUGGCACUGCCCGGUAGCUAAAUGCGGAAGAGAUAAGUGCUGAAAGCAUCUAAGCACGAAACUUGCCCCGAGAUGAGUUCUCCCUGAGACUUAGAGUCUCCUGAAGGAACGUUGAAGACGACGACGUUGAUAGGCCGGGUGUGUAAGCGCAGCGAUGCGUUGAGCUAACCGGUACUAAUGAACCGUGAGGCUUAACCUUACAACGCCGAAGCUGUU
rnacentral:rRNA from 2 species